rnacentral:rRNA from 1 species
UACGUAGGGUGCGAGCGUUAAUCGGAAUUACUGGGCGUAAAGCGUGCGCAGGCGGCGCGUUAAGACAGGUGUGAAGGCCCCGAGCUUAACUUGGGAAUUGCGCUUGUGACUGGCGUGCUGGAGUGUGGCAGAGGGAGGUGGAAUUCCACGUGCAGCAGUGAAAUGCGUAGAGAUGUGGAGGAACACCGAUGGCGAAGGCAGCCUCCUGGGCCAGCACUGACGCUCAUGCACGAAAGCGUGGGGAGCAAACAGG